rnacentral:lncRNA from 1 species
AAUAUUUCUUGACAAUAUUAUCCAACUAUAUUUUUAAUAGAUGCAAUCAAGAGAGUGUGGUCUUUGCUAGAACAGUAGCUCUAUACAGGCGGAACAAACGCUAUGAACCAAAAUUACCAAUAUCUCUGUCAACUGUAUUAAAACAUAAUAAGUUUAAUAUAAAAUUUUAAAAAUAAUAUGGAUUAUUCAUAUAUAGUCUUGUUACAAAUUUAUAGCCCGUAAACACUAACAAAUUGAAGAAUAAAGGAGUUGUUUUCCUCAAGUGUAUUUUAUCUCCGAUUAUUUAAAUCUAAUCUGUCGCGUUAGUUUUAGACAAAAAGUUAUGGAAAUAGGAGAUGACCUUACAUUACAUAUUUACUUUGGUGAUGGAGAAGUUAGCUUCACAAUACCUUAUCAUAAACUCGAGAUCACGUAUAAAGAGAAGGAGAAAUGAAGCCCACACAGAAAGCUAGUAAAAAAGUACUCCUAUAUCAACCAUUCGCUUGCAAAUUUAUCACACCAUACCAAAAGAGAGCACUUUCCUCUUUUUAUCGGUGUUCUUCUUCUAGUAUACUCUUACCAUUAAAAGGCACUCUUGAUAAUGCUAAGAAGCAUAGAUUUUCG